GUGGGGAAUAUUGCACAAUGGGCGGAAGCCUGAUGCAGCAACGCCGCGUGCGGGAUGACGGCCUUCGGGUUGUAAACCGCUUUCAGCAGGGACGAAGCGUGAGUGACGGUACCUGCAGAAGAAGCACCGGCUAACUACGUGCCAGCAGCCGCGGUGAUACGUAGGGUGCGAGCGUUGUCCGGAUUUAUUGGGCGUAAAGAGCUUGUAGGCGGUUGGUUGCGUCGAAAGUGCAAACUCAGGGCUUAACUCUGAGCCUGCUUUCGAUACGGGCUGACUGGAGGAAGGUAGGGGAGAAUGGAAUUCCCGGUGGAGCGGUGGAAUGCGCAGAUAUCGGGAGGAACAUCAGUUGCGAAGGCGGCUCUCUGGACCAGCACUGACACUGAGGCACGAAAGCGUGGGGAGCAAACAGGAUUAGAAACCCGGGUAGUCC
rnacentral:rRNA from 1 species